rnacentral:misc_RNA from 1 species
GCUGGAUAACCAAACCAGAGAUCUUAAUGAUCUGCUUUUGUUAAGAUCAGUAUCCAGUUCCCUUGGUUCUUCCAUCUGGAAAAAUGCCAUCAUCACUCUUACUCAUGCUGCCUCAGCUCCACCUGAUGGUCCAUCUGGCUCCCCUUUGGGUUAUGAGGUGUUUGUUGCUCAACGGUCUCAUGUUCUUCAGCAAACUGUUGCUCAAGCUGUUGGUGAUCUGCGCAUCCUAAAUCCAACUUUA